GCGGGUUUAGCUCAGUUGGGAGAGCGUCAGACUGAAGUCAAACUUCAAUCAUAUGAUAUCUGAAGGUCGUGUGUUCGAUCCACACAAACCGCA
rnacentral:tRNA from 1 species